GAUGAACGCUGGCGGCGUGCUUAACACAUGCAAGUCGAGCGAAGCUUUUUGCUUGGGAUUUUUCGGAAUGAAGAGUGACUAGACUGAGCGGCGGACGGGUGAGUAACGCGUGGGUAACCUGCCUCAUACAGGGGGAUAACAGUUAGAAAUGGCUGCUAAUACCGCAUAAGACCGCAGUACCGCAUGGUACAGUGGUAAAAACUCCGGUGGUAUGAGAUGGACCCGCGUCUGAUUAGCUAGUUGGUAAGGUAACGGCUUACCAAGGCGACGAUCAGUAGCCGACCUGAGAGGGUGACCGGCCACAUUGGGACUGAGACACGGCCCAAACUCCUACGGGAGGCAGCAGUGGGGAAUAUUGCACAAUGGGGGAAACCCUGAUGCAGCGACGCCGCGUGAAGGAUGAAGUAUUUCGGUAUGUAAACUUCUAUCAGCAGGGAAGAAAAUGACGGUACCUGACUAAGAAGCCCCGGCUAACUACGUGCCAGCCGCCGCCGUAAAAC
rnacentral:rRNA from 1 species